rnacentral:rRNA from 1 species
UACAGAGGGUGCGAGCGUUGUUCGGAAUUAUUGGGCGUAAAGGGCGCGUAGGCGGCGCCACAAGUCACUUGUGAAAACUCUGGGCUCAACUCAGAGCCUGCAAGCGAAACUGUGGUGCUGGAGUAUGGGAGAGGUGCGUGGAAUUCCCGGUGUAGCGGUGAAAUGCGUAGAGAUCGGGAGGAACACCAGAGGCGAAGGCGGCGACCUGGACAGCUACUGACACUCAACUACGAAAGCGUGGGGAGCAAACAGG